rnacentral:rRNA from 1 species
GGCUAACGCUGGCGGCGUGUCUUAGCCAUGCAAGUCGAGCGGACUUAUGGGGGUAACUUAUAAGUCAGCGGCGGACGGCGGAGUAACACGUAGCUAACCUACCCUCUGGACGGGGAUAACCUACCGAAAGGUGGGCUAAUACCCGAUGUAGUCAUCCUGUAUAGGGGUGAUGAAAGGUGGGCUUCUGUUUACAAGCUCAUGCUGGAGGAGGGGGCUGCGGCCUAUCAGGUAGUUGGUAGGGUAAUAGCCUACCAAGCCGAUGACGGGUAGCCGGCCUGAGAGGGUGACCGGCCCGAGGGGCACUGAGAUACGGGUCCCACUCCUACGGGAGGCAGCAGGCUAGAAAUUUGGGCAAUGGGGGAAACCCUGACCCAGUGACGCCGCGUGCAGGAAGGAGCCCUUCGGGGUGUAAACUGCUGUCGUGUAGGGAGAAGGGUACUAAGGUGAACAAUCUUAGUACUUGACGGUACUACAGGAGGAAGCCCAGGCUAACCUCGUGCCAGCAGCCGCGGUAAGAUAGCGUACU